AUCCAGAUGACGAGUCGCAAAUAGGACGGAAAGCGCAUCCUGACUGGAU
rfam:Trichobilharzia regenti genome assembly, scaffold: TRE_scaffold0038299